AGACAACUUUUUGACAAUUUGACCUCAAAUCAGGUAGGACUACCCGCUGAACUUAAGCAUAUCAAUAAGCGGGAGG
rnacentral:rRNA from 1 species